CCUACGGGAGGCUGCAUUUUUUCAUAUUUUACAAUGGGGGGAACCCUGAUCCAGCCAUGCCGCGUGUGUGAAGAAGGCCCUCGGGUUGUAAAGCACUUUCAGUGAGGAAGAACGCCUGGUGGUUAAUACCCAUCAGGAAAGACAUCACUCACAGAAGAAGCACCGGCUAACUCCGUGCCAGCAGCCGCGGUAAUACGGAGGGUGCGAGCGUUAAUCGGAAUUACUGGGCGUAAAGCGCGCGUAGGUGGCUUGAUAAGCCGGUUGUGAAAGCCCCGGGCUCAACCUGGGAACGGCAUCCGGAACUGUCAAGCUAGAGUGCAGGAGAGGAAGGUAGAAUUCCCGGUGUAGCGGUGAAAUGCGUAGAGAGCGGGAGGAAUACCAGUGGCGAAGGCGGCCUUCUGGACUGACACUGACACUGAGGUGCGAAAGCGUGGGUAGCAAACAGGAUUAGAUACCCUUGUAGUC
rnacentral:rRNA from 1 species